CAGUAGCCGCGGGAAUACGUAGGUGGCAAGCGUUAUCCGGAAUUAUUGGGCGUAAAGCGCGCGUAGGCGGUUAUACAAGUCAGAUGUGAAAUCCCCGGGCUCAACCUGGGAACUGCAUUUGAGACUGUAUGGCUAGAGUGUGUCAGAGGGGGGUAGAAUUCCACGUGUAGCAGGGAAAUGCGUAGAUAUGUGGAGGAAUACCGAUGGCGAAGGCAGCCCCCUGGGAUAACACUGACGCUCAUGCACGAAAGCGUGGGGAGCAAACAGGAUUAGAUACCCCCGUAGUCCCUGUCUCUUAUAC
rnacentral:rRNA from 1 species